GAGAAUUCUGGGUUUACUUUAUGUUUGGUUAUACCUCUUUUCUUAUUGAAAUAUAAAGUAGCGUAACGGAAGACGAUUGUGAAAAGAAAAAAAUGUCAUCAAUCCCCCCAUUCUUUUUUGGCCAUAAAAAUUUAAUUAACCAGUGAGGGAGAACGAGUCAAUUAGUUUUUGAGUGUUGAAUCAGUGAUCUAGGGAAGGAUGAUGUCUGUUCCUAGGGACACCCCCGUAAGUGAGGUAAUUUGUUCCUUCACUCCUGCGACGGUCUACCUUAUGCCCUUGGAGCUGUGAGGGGUGACUGGAGAUUGGCCUCACUCCCCGCUCUGUCCCCGCCUCGGCAUCUGACCACCACCUUGACUAUAGCAGGGGCCCAGUAAACGACGGUGAAGUUGCACUGAGUGAGCCGGGGAAAGCUGGUGACCCCACAGCUAAGCCAUGCUCCAGAAAGUGUCUCCAACACCUGCUGAGUGACGCCCAUCCCAGGGAGAAGAAGGCUGCUGGCCUUUGCAUCAUCCGUCUCAGAAUACCGAAAGAAGUUGAUUUUGACAAUUUUUGCCAGUGUUCUCAUGCUUUUAUGAAGGAGUGGGUUUUCAGAGAUUCUUAUUCUUCCAUUCCAGAAGUGCUGCUAAUUCACUUACAUUAAAUGCAUUUAUUUUUA